rnacentral:rRNA from 1 species
UGGGGAAUAUUGCACAAUGGGCGCAAGCCUGAUGCAGCCAUGCCGCGUGUAUGAAGAAGGCCUUCGGGUUGUAAAGUACUUUCAGCGGGGAGGAAGGCGAUAAGGUUAAUAACCUUGUCGAUUGACGUUACCCGCAGAAGAAGCACCGGCUAACUCCGUGCCAGCAGCCGCGGUAAUACGGAGGGUGCAAGCGUUAAUCGGAAUUACUGGGCGUAAAGCGCACGCAGGCGGUCUGUCAAGCCGGAUGUGAAAUCCCCGGGCUCAACCUGGGAACUGCAUUCGAAACUGGCAGGCUAGAGUCUUGUAGAGGGGGGUAGAAUUCCAGGUGUAGCGGUGAAAUGCGUAGAGAUCUGGAGGAAUACCGGUGGCGAAGGCGGCCCCCUGGACAAAGACUGACGCUCAGGUGCGAAAGCGUGGGGAGCAAACA